GGGUGCGUAGCUCAGCGGGAGAGCAUUCGCUUCACACGCGAAGGGUCACAGGUUCGAUCCCUGUCGCGCCCACCA
rnacentral:tRNA from 65 species